ensembl:snoRNA
AUCUUUUUGUGGUUCAUUAGUGUGAUGAUUCGGUUUUCACGAUAAUGUGUGAAUUACAACCCCUACCUCAAACCUUGUUAGGACUCCACACAUUACCCCUCUGUAG